rnacentral:rRNA from 1 species
GUUGAACGCUGGCGGCGUGCCUAAUACAUGCAAGUCGAGCGAACGGACGAGAAGCUUGCUUCUCUGAUGUUAGCGGCGGACGGGUGAGUAACACGUGGAUAACCUACCUAUAAGACUGGGAUAACUUCGGGAAACCGGAGCUAAUACCGGAUAAUAUUUUGAACCGCAUGGUUCAAAAGUGAAAGACGGUCUUGCUGUCACUUAUAGAUGGAUCCGCGCUGCAUUAGCUAGUUGGUAAGGUAACGGCUUACCAAGGCAACGAUGCAUAGCCGACCUGAGAGGGUGAUCGGCCACACUGGAACUGAGACACGGUCCAGACUCCUACGGGAGGCAGCAGUAGGGAAUCUUCCGCAAUGGGCGAAAGCCUGACGGAGCAACGCCGCGUGAGUGAUGAAGGUCUUCGGAUCGUAAAACUCUGUUAUUAGGGAAGAACAUAUGUGUAAGUAACUGUGCACAUCUUGACGGUACCUAAUCAGAAAGCCACGGCUAACUACGUGCCAGCAGCCGCGGUAAUACGUAGGUGGCAAGCGUUAUCCGGAAUUAUUGGGCGUAAAGCGCGCGUAGGCGGUUUUUUAAGUCUGAUGUGAAAGCCCACGACUCAACCGUGGAGGGUCAUUGGAAACUGGAAAACUUGAGUGCAGAAGAGGAAAGUGGAAUUCCAUGUGUAGCGGUGAAAUGCGCAGAGAUAUGGAGGAACACCAGUGGCGAAGGCGACUUUCUGGUCUGUAACUGACGCUGAUGUGCGAAAGCGUGGGGAUCAAACAGGAUUAGAUACCCUGGUAGUCCACGCCGUAAACGAUGAGUGCUAAGUGUUAGGGGGUUUCCGCCCCUUAGUGCUGCAGCUAACGCAUUAAGCACUCCGCCUGGGGAGUACGACCGCAAGGUUGAAACUCAAAGGAAUUGACGGGGACCCGCACAAGCGGUGGAGCAUGUGGUUUAAUUCGAAGCAACGCGAAGAACCUUACCAAAUCUUGACAUCCUUUGACAACUCUAGAGAUAGAGCCUUCCUCUUCGGGGGACAAAGUGACAGGUGGUGCAUGGUUGUCGUCAGCUCGUGUCGUGAGAUGUUGGGUUAAGUCCCGCAACGAGCGCAACCCUUAAGCUUAGUUGCCAUCAUUAAGUUGGGCACUCUAAGUUGACUGCCGGUGACAAACCGGAGGAAGGUGGGGAUGACGUCAAAUCAUCAUGCCCCUUAUGAUUUGGGCUACACACGUGCUACAAUGGACAAUACAAAGGGCAGCGAAACCGCGAGGUCAAGCAAAUCCCAUAAAGUUGUUCUCAGUUCGGAUUGUAGUCUGCAACUCGACUACAUGAAGCUGGAAUCGCUAGUAAUCGUAGAUCAGCAUGCUACGGAGAAGACGUUCCCGGGUCU